rnacentral:rRNA from 1 species
UACGUAGGGUGCGAGCGUUGUCCGGAAUUACUGGGCGUAAAGAGCUCGUAGGUGGUUUGUCGCGUUGUUCGUGAAAACCGGGGGCUUAACCCUCGGCGUGCGGGCGAUACGGGCAGACUUGAGUACUGCAGGGGAGACUGGAAUUCCCGGUGUAGCGGUGAAAUGCGCAGAUAUCGGGAGGAACACCAGUAGCGAAGGCGGCACUCUGGGCCGGUACUGACGCUGAGGAGCGAAAGCGUGGGGAGCAAACAGG